CUGGCCACCCUGGGGAAUAAAAUCCUGUAUAAGCCUUGAAUAGAUACAGCCCAGACAAUAACAAAGCUUUCUCAUAUUGCCCCACCAGUGUGCCUCAAACCUAGUCUGGAGGUACCAGUUCUACGGGUGAGAGAGUUGGUGUCUCCACGUUCAUUCAUCAGCAAUC
rnacentral:sRNA from 1 species